rnacentral:rRNA from 1 species
AUUGAACGCUGGCGGCAGGCCUAACACAUGCAAGUCGAGCGAGUGGCGGACGGGUGAGUAAUGUCUGGGAAACUGCCUGAUGGAGGGGGAUAACUACUGGAAACGGUAGCUAAUACCGCAUACCAUCAGAUGUGCCCAGAUGGGAUUAGCUUGGGGGUGGGGUAAUGGCGCACCUAGGCGCAGAUCCCUAGCUGGUCUGAGAGGAUGACCAGCCACACUGGAACUGAGACACGGUCCAGACUCCUACGUGAGGCAGCAGUGGGGAAUAUUGCACAAUGGGCGCAAGCCUGAUGCAGCCAUGCCGCGUGUAUGAAGAAGGCCUUCGGGUUGUAAAGUACUUUCAGCGGGGAGGCGUUACCCGCAGAAGAAGCACCGGCUAACUCCGUGCCAGCCGCCGCGGUAAUUC